UUAAGUUAUUAAGGGCGCACGGUGGAUGCCUUGGCACUAGAAGCCGAUGAAGGACGUUACUAACGACGAUAUGCUUUGGGGAGCUGUAAGUAAGCUUUGAUCCAGAGAUUUCCGAAUGGGGAAACCCAGCAUGAGUUAUGUCAUGUUAUCGAUAUGUGAAUACAUAGCAUAUCAGAAGGCACACCCGGAGAACUGAAACAUCUUAGUACCCGGAGGAAGAGAAAGAAAAUUCGAUUCCCUUAGUAGCGGCGAGCGAAACGGGAAGAGCCCAAACCAACAAGCUUGCUUGUUGGGGUUGUAGGACACUCUAUACGGAGUUACAAAGGACGACAUUAGACGAAUCAUCUGGAAAGAUGAAUCAAAGAAGGUAAUAAUCCUGUAGUCGAAAAUGUUGUCUCUCUUGAGUGGAUCCUGAGUACGACGGAGCACGUGAAAUUCCGUCGGAAUCUGGGAGGACCAUCUCCUAAGGCUAAAUACUCUCUAGUGACCGAUAGUGAACCAGUACCGUGAGGGAAAGGUGAAAAGCACCCCGGAAGGGGAGUGAAAUAGAACCUGAAACCGUGUGCUUACAAGUAGUCAGAGCCCGUUAAUGGGUGAUGGCGUGCCUUUUGUAGAAUGAACCGGCGAGUUACGAUUUGAUGCAAGGUUAAGCAGUAAAUGUGGAGCCGUAGCGAAAGCGAGUCUGAAUAGGGCGUUUAGUAUUUGGUCGUAGACCCGAAACCAGGUGAUCUACCCUUGGUCAGGUUGAAGUUCAGGUAACACUGAAUGGAGGACCGAACCGACUUACGUUGAAAAGUGAGCGGAUGAACUGAGGGUAGCGGAGAAAUUCCAAUCGAACCUGGAGAUAGCUGGUUCUCUCCGAAAUAGCUUUAGGGCUAGCCUCAAGUGAUGAUUAUUGGAGGUAGAGCACUGUUUGGACGAGGGGCCCCUCUCGGGUUACCGAAUUCAGACAAACUCCGAAUGCCAAUUAAUUUAACUUGGGAGUCAGAACAUGGGUGAUAAGGUCCGUGUUCGAAAGGGAAACAGCCCAGACCACCAGCUAAGGUCCCAAAAUAUAUGUUAAGUGGAAAAGGAUGUGGCGUUGCCCAGACAACUAGGAUGUUGGCUUAGAAGCAGCCAUCAUUUAAAGAGUGCGUAAUAGCUCACUAGUCGAGUGACACUGCGCCGAAAAUGUACCGGGGCUAAACAUAUUACCGAAGCUGUGGAUUGUCCUUUGGACAAUGGUAGGAGAGCGUUCUAAGGGCGUUGAAGCAUGAUCGUAAGGACAUGUGGAGCGCUUAGAAGUGAGAAUGCCGGUGUGAGUAGCGAAAGACGGGUGAGAAUCCCGUCCACCGAUUGACUAAGGUUUCCAGAGGAAGGCUCGUCCGCUCUGGGUUAGUCGGGUCCUAAGCUGAGGCCGACAGGCGUAGGCGAUGGAUAACAGGUUGAUAUUCCUGUACCACCUAUAAUCGUUUUAAUCGAUGGGGGGACGCAGUAGGAUAGGCGAAGCGUGCGAUUGGAUUGCACGUCUAAGCAGUAAGGCUGAGUAUUAGGCAAAUCCGGUACUCGUUAAGGCUGAGCUGUGAUGGGGAGAAGACAUUGNNNNNNNNNNNNNNNNNNNNNNNNNNNNNNNNNNNNNNNNNGUCUUCGAGUCGUUGAUUUCACACUGCCGAGAAAAGCCUCUAGAUAGAAAAUAGGUGCCCGUACCGCAAACCGACACAGGUAGUCAAGAUGAGAAUUCUAAGGUGAGCGAGCGAACUCUCGUUAAGGAACUCGGCAAAAUGACCCCGUAACUUCGGGAGAAGGGGUGCUCUUUAGGGUUAACGCCCAGAAGAGCCGCAGUGAAUAGGCCCAAGCGACUGUUUAUCAAAAACACAGGUCUCUGCUAAACCGUAAGGUGAUGUAUAGGGGCUGACGCCUGCCCGGUGCUGGAAGGUUAAGAGGAGUGGUUAGCUUCUGCGAAGCUACGAAUCGAAGCCCCAGUAAACGGCGGCCGUAACUAUAACGGUCCUAAGGUAGCGAAAUUCCUUGUCGGGUAAGUUCCGACCCGCACGAAAGGCGUAACGAUUUGGGCACUGUCUCAACGAGAGACUCGGUGAAAUCAUAGUACCUGUGAAGAUGCAGGUUACCCGCGACAGGACGGAAAGACCCCGUGGAGCUUUACUGUAGCCUGAUAUUGAAAUUCGGCACAGCUUGUACAGGAUAGGUAGGAGCCUUUGAAACGUGAGCGCUAGCUUACGUGGAGGCGCUGGUGGGAUACUACCCUAGCUGUGUUGGCUUUCUAACCCGCACCACUUAUCGUGGUGGGAGACAGUGUCAGGCGGGCAGUUUGACUGGGGCGGUCGCCUCCUAAAAGGUAACGGAGGCGCUCAAAGGUUCCCUCAGAAUGGUUGGAAAUCAUUCAUAGAGUGUAAAGGCAUAAGGGAGCUUGACUGCGAGACCUACAAGUCGAGCAGGGUCGAAAGACGGACUUAGUGAUCCGGUGGUUCCGCAUGGAAGGGCCAUCGCUCAACGGAUAAAAGCUACCCCGGGGAUAACAGGCUUAUCUCCCCCAAGAGUUCACAUCGACGGGGAGGUUUGGCACCUCGAUGUCGGCUCAUCGCAUCCUGGGGCUGUAGUCGGUCCCAAGGGUUGGGCUGUUCGCCCAUUAAAGCGGUACGCGAGCUGGGUUCAGAACGUCGUGAGACAGUUCGGUCCCUAUCCGUCGUGGGCGUAGGAAAUUUGAGAGGAGCUGUCCUUAGUACGAGAGGACCGGGAUGGACAUACCUCUGGUGUACCAGUUGUCGUGCCAACGGCAUAGCUGGGUAGCUAUGUGUGGACGGGAUAAGUGCUGAAAGCAUCUAAGCAUGAAGCCCCCCUCAAGAUGAGAUUUCCCAACUUCGGUUAUAAGAUCCCUCAAAGAUGAUGAGGUUAAUAGGUUCGAGGUGGAAG
rnacentral:rRNA from 1 species